UAUACACUAUAUGAUGUAUAAAUGUAUACACACUUCCUAUAUAUAUCCACAUAUAUAUAGUGUGUAGGUGUGUAUAUGUGCACAUAUAUACACG
rnacentral:miRNA from 1 species